rnacentral:lncRNA from 1 species
AAGUGACUGGCUGAAGGCUAUUAAGCUGUGACAGAUGCCAUGGUGAUGAAUUGGGCUGGGGGGGGGGGGUAUGUGUGUGAAAGAAGGAUCUCCUGGAAACAGACACAGCAUCAUGAAGGAGAGAGGGGGAACCAAGCCUCCCUUCAGAUCCCUGCACAACUGAGCGACCCACCGGACUUGGGCUGGAGAUGCAAAGACCAGAGGCCGCUGCUCUCUCUGUAUCAGCAGGCGUGUUGUCCGCCUCCAUCCCCGCCGCUCCAGCAGGUAGGUAGCUGCUCCCCCUGGCCUGCCCCCUAGCUGCAUGGAUUGCCGUAGGGCUGGAGGGGGCUGGGCUACCAGCUGCUGCCCUUUCACACCCGCUUUAAAGCCCGUCAAAAGAGGUGGGGGGGAGAGAGGCGAAGAUCUGAUCCCCGUUUAGCUGGCUUCGGAGGGAGAAGAGUCGACUCGGAGCUGUAGCCCGGGGAUGUGUGGCAUCCGCUUGGGCUCCUUUGAGCUGGAGAAUCAGCUGGGAAGCGGGGGCAGUUUAUUUCAUACCUUGAUCUUACAAAGAAGAACCCACGGACAUGCAGGUAACCCUGCCCCCUUUGUUUUCCCAUUUGCCAAAGGAAGAGAGGCAUGUAGAGAUAUGUGUAGGGCUGGGGUUUGUGGCAUUGGCUAGUGUCAGUCCUGGGGCACAAGGAGUGGGCAUUGGAAUGAUCUUUCUUCUUUUGCUGUCCCUUUUCAUCUCCAGUUUGUCAUAAAGGAAUCCUGCCUUUGUCUCCUAAAAGAAUUAGGCACCUAUUCCAUCUGAGCUGGGCAUCUAACUCCCUUAGGCUCCUUUGAAAUCCUAGCAGAUUAAUGGCCAAAUUUGCAUAGACUUUCCCUCUGCUUCUUGCAACCUAUUAGUAAGAGAAAAGACUUUAAUAACUGAUCAGGGAGGGGGUGGCAAAGUGCAUCUGAACUGAUUUUGCCUGAGGGGUAAAGUAAAUAGGAGGCUAAGAUCAGAGUGGUGUCAAGUUUGUAUUAAUAAUGCAAAUAUUUGAACCAAACAUAGUCCGGAGUUCCCAUUUCCUUAAAACUUUCCUUCUUAGGGAAGAUUGGAAAUAACGGAGGAAUUGUUUGCAAAGCCAGGUGAAAAGGGCCUUCUUGGUGAAGGACAAAUACAAUGUUGCUUCUCUUUUUUUUUCCAAGGGGGAUUUAUGCAUCUGUCUCUUUGUGGGGUCCUUGACCAGGGCUGUGUUGGUCGUUUUUAUGGGACGUUUAUAUUAAAGGCAUGGAAGUUCAAGCAGACAAUGUAACUAGAGUUCUCGAGUCCCCA